rnacentral:rRNA from 1 species
AGCGAACGCUGGCGGCAGGCUUAACACAUGCAAGUCGAGCGGACCUUCCGGGGGCACCUGCGGACGGGGGAGGAGCGCGUGGGAACGGGCCUUCCGGUUCCGAAUAACCCUGUGAAACGAGGGCUAAUGCCGGAUACGCCCUGCUGGGGAAAGGUUUACUCUCGGAGGAUCAGCCCGCGUCUGUUUAGCCUGUUGCGGGUGUAACGGCCUAUCAAGGCGACGAUCGUUAGCUGGGCUGAGAGGAUGAUCAGCGACACUGGGACUGAGACACGGCCGAGAAUAUUAGGGGAGGCAGCAGUGGCGAAUAUUGGCAAACGGGCGCAAGGCUGAUCCAGCCAUGCCGGGUGAGUGAUGAAGGCGUUAGGGUUGUACAGCUCUUUUAUCCGGGACGAUACUGACGGUACCGGAGGAAUAAGCCCCGGCUAACUUCGUG